CUGAAGUUCAACACAAAUGACGGUUUUGAUUUAAACGUCAAAAAGUACCAGGAAAUUCCUCCAAGGCCCGGGGCGAUAGAUGUGGAGAGAGCCAAAUCUACCAUGUUCAAAUUGUCUUCGCUAGAGGAGAAAUUGGGUAUCAAGCACAGGUUGCAAGAGCGUAAUAAUGAACUGUAUGAUUGUAAUCAUGUACCUAAGCAGUGGGCAGGCGAUGAAAUUUCCUAUAUUACUCAGCAUCUUGAAAAGCUUGAAAAGCUUAACAAGAAUCUCAUUUGUCUUCACUCUUCCAUCACUAACACCUGGCAGCUUUCAAGUGCCCGCUUCAAUAAGGAUACAGUUUCAGGAGAAGAAAGGAAGAGGAUAACCAGGAGAAGAAAGGAGCAAAGGAGAAUAGCUCGUCAAAAACAAACGAACAUGGGAAAG
rnacentral:lncRNA from 1 species